rnacentral:rRNA from 1 species
AUUGAACGCUGGCGGCCGGCCUAACACAUGCAAGUCGAACGAGUGGCGGACGGGUGAGUAAUGUCUGGGAAACUGUCUGAUGGAGGGGGAUAACUACUGGAAACGGUAGCUAAUACCGCAUACCAUCGGAUGUGCCCAGAUGGGAUUAGCUAGUAGGUGGGGUAAAGGCUCACCUAGGCGACGAUCCCUAGCUGGUCUGAGAGGACGACCAGCCACACUGGAACUGGAGCACGGUCCAGACUCCUACGGGAGGCAGCAGUGGGGAAUAUUGCACAAUGGGCGAAAUCCUGAUGCAGCCAUGACGCGUGUAUGAAGAAGGCCGUCGGGUUGUAAAGUACUUGCAGCGGGGAGGAGUUACCCGCAGAAGAAGCACCGGCUAACUCCGUGCCAGCAGCCGCGGUAAUUC